GUCGGCGAUCGUCAGACGACUCGUAUCGUCAUCGACAUAGAAAAUUAAAAGAGAACAAUUUAUAAUUUCUAAGCUACAGUCUGCAGUGCAAUCAGGGUUUGGGUGUUUCAGUGUGUGCAAGGUUGUUUCGUGACAUCGCGUACCUCUUUUAAUAUUACGGCAAUUGGUAUUGUAUAGAGCUGGAUAUUUCCAAUGGAUAAAUUAUCGAGUGACAACUUGAAUUCAAGCAUGAACGGCUACUCAGAAAAUAUAUCCACCAACUUGGAAAAUAGCAGAAACUCGCUUCGCCGAAUAGCUCGCCAUGACGACACCGAGUUCUCCCAUCAGAGCAUCCUGAAUGUGAUGGAGAAAUUCGUGAAAACCGUCAACAAGAUGGAUGAGACGAUUUUAGUGCCUUGUCGACUGAUGGAUCAAAAAGUGGGCGACGAACAAGAUCCGGCCUGUCAAAAUCCAAAAACGAAGAGUUCCCAUUCGGUUCAUCAGCUCCUCAGCUCUACGGAUCUCUUCGAAAUCUACAGCAUGCUGAACAACGUCAAGGACGGUCUUCUAUGGGGCCAGACGCAGGAAACAGCUAAAGCCAGUACCAUAACCCCAAUCACCAAAGGCCACAAUCGCAGACCCUCUUCAGUGAGCGUCACUUCAACGAAUUCAUCCACAUCCACUUUGAGUGAUACAGAUUCGGAAUCGGGCAGCAAUGAGAUCGACUCUGGAAUCGAUGAUACCGCCCAGGAGGAAGGAAAAGUGGAAAGGGUCGCCGAAAAUUUUGGAAGACAUCUGAUUGGGCUAACAACAUCUCUCCGUCAGAUGACAGAGGCUGCACAGUACCUGACCUGGCGCUACCAGUACGACAUUGGGGGCCCAGUCUAAUAGUUGAACGUUUGGUUAACCAAAUAGGUCGUUAGACUGACGUUUUAUAUUAAAUAUAUUUUUAGUUAAAGGGUGCGGAGGACGGGGCAUCUUUCUGAUUGAAAGUUUUGACCCAUCUUGACACAAAAAGAGACAAAUAGUGCCGGAUUGAUUCGAUGUUCUAUGAUUAUUUCGAAUCUGGCAUCUUUGUACUAAUUGGGAAAAUGGUAUUCAUGAUAAUAUUGUCACUUAUAUAUUGUCAUUCUGAAUUGAAGUGGUAGUUUAGAAAAAAGGUCUCGAGGGCAAACGAACAUAGUUUACUGAUUUAAUUAUCAGUCAAAAAUAAUGUUGAGACAAUAGGAAAAUCACAGGUCUUCUGUUGUUUCAUCCAAUGUUAAUAUCCAAUUCAGUACUAGAAAAAUUUGCCAUUGAUUUGAGUUCAACACAUUAUAUAGAAUUUUUAGAGAAAACAGUUACAGACAAAAGACUCUAUUUUUAUUUUAUUUUUUUCACUUUUUCUGCUGUUCAGGAACCGUCAACCACAAAUGAAAGCUCAGAAAUAUGUACUGUGGGUGAUAUUUUUCAAUUCAAUCUCAUUUUCCCAAGUUGAAUCUCACUUGAAUGAUUAUCUCAACCAUACUUUUGCAGCUGAAUGAACUUAUCUGAUGGAAAUACUAAUUCCAUUUUCUUCAGAGGUCUUAGAUUUUCCUGCAACUAUCAUCAAAGAAAUUUUUCAAAUAGUACAUUCUGCUGCUCCGCAUCUGUUUGAAAAUCUGUUAAAAUCUGAUAUAAAAUAUUAUCUAAUGAGUUGAAUAACUUCGUGGCGAAAUACAAAAAUGAAAUUCACAUGAGACACUUAUGUGAGAAUAUUAGUUUUGGUAAUAUCUUCAAAAAGUAUAAGGUAGGUAUUUAAUUUUUUUGUGUUAGGAAGGUUACAAGAUAACUCAGAAAGAUAAGUCACUCUUUGAUUUGAAAAGUGAUACCUAUUUAUAUACUAGAUUAUCUAUUUUUGCUCAUAAAUUUAUGAAAUUAUUUAUUUGAAAAUAUCAAGUAUUAUUAAUUCCUACACUUCUAUAUUGUUUUGGUUUAUGAAUAAAGAGGAAGCAAGAUUAUGA
rnacentral:misc_RNA from 1 species